GGACGUAGCCAAGCGGUAAGGCAACGGACUUUGACUCAGUUAGUCUUGGUUCGAGUCCAGGU
rnacentral:tRNA from 1 species